UUACCAAUAUACCUUGUUUUGCACAUACUGUAUUCUCUGCUCAAUCGCCAGGUAUCUUAGACAUGGCUACUACACUGAAAGAGAUAUGUGUUGGUCUUCCCCAAGAUUUGCUUCCAGAAAACCGUCCUAGAGAUUUUUCUGUUCCACAUGCUCCAGUUCGAACACCCAAACUAUCUAACGAAGAAAAGAAACUAGCAUUGCAGAAUGCUUUACGAUACUUUCCACCAAAAUUUCACCAAGUCUUAGCACCAGAGUUUGCAGCAGAACUUCAAGACUAUGGCCACAUCUAUAUGUACCGCUUUCGUCCCAUCUUGAAUAUGAAGGCAUACCCGAUUAGAGAAUAUCCUGCAAAAUGUCUCCAAGCUGCUGCCAUCAUGCACAUGAUUAUGAACAACCUGAAUCCAGAAGUUGCACAGUUUCCUCAUGAACUUGUUACUUAUGGAGGUAAUGGACAAGUAUUUUCCAACUGGGUUCAGUUUCUGUUAGUUAUGUAUUAUUUGUCUAAUAUGACUGAAGAACAAACACUUGUGAUGUAUUCUGGACACCCGAUGGGAUUGUUUCCGAGCAACAAUUCAGCACCUAGAAUGAUUAUAACCAAUGGAAUGAUGAUCCCAAAUUAUUCAAGCAAAGAAAUAUAUGACAAACUAUUUGCUUUAGGAGUGACAAUGUAUGGACAAAUGACUGCUGGGAGUUAUUGCUAUAUUGGCCCUCAAGGAAUUGUACAUGGUACAACACUGACAUUACUCAAUGCUGCUCGUAUGUAUUUAAAAACUGAUGAUCUUUCUGGAAAGGUAUUUGUCACAUCUGGCUUGGGAGGCAUGAGUGGGGCACAGGCAAAAGCAGCAGUUAUUGCAGGUUGUGUUGGAGUUGUAGCUGAGGUUGAUAAAAAUGCCUUACUUAAACGUUAUAAGCAAGGUUGGUUAUUGAAGAUUGCUGCCAAUUUAGAUCAUUGUGUUGAUUUGAUUCGAACUGGUCGAAAAGAGAAAAAGCCAACAAGUAUUGGUUACCAUGGAAAUGUUGUGGAUUUAUGGGAUCGUUUGAUUACGGAAUAUGAAAACACUGGUGAAUUACUUGUGGAUUUGGGAUCUGAUCAAACAUCAUGCCACAAUCCUUUUGCUGGAGGUUACUAUCCAAUGCAGAUAACUUUUGAAGAAUCACAAAUAUUAAUGCAUGAAGACCCAGAGAAGUUCUGUCAAUUAGUGCAGGAAACUCUGAGACACCAUGUAAAAGCUCUGAAUAAGUUAUCUGAUCAUGGAAUGUUUUUCUGGGACUAUGGAAAUGCUUUUCUUCUUGAGGCUGGUCAUGCAGGAGCUGAUGUUGGGAAAUGUGAAACUAUGUAUGGAAUAAAAUUUCGGUAUCCAUCAUAUGUACAAGAUAUCAUGGGAGAUAUAUUCUCUCUUGGAUUUGGACCUUUCAGAUGGGUUUGUACAUCAGGAGAUAAAGAAGACCUUGAAAAAUCAGAUAUGAUUGCUGCAAAUAUUCUGGAAAAAAUAGCAUCAAAAACAAGUUCCGCUGUUGUGAGAGAACAAUAUAAAGAUAAUAUUCGCUGGAUUAAAGAAGCUGGCCAACAUAAAAUGGUUGUAGGUUCUCAAGCCAGGAUUUUAUAUGCUGACCAAAAUGGUAGAUCACAAAUUGCUCUAGAAUUCAAUAAAGCUGUGAAAGAAGGAAAACUGAAGGGUUCAGUUGUCAUUAGUCGAGACCAUCAUGAUGUCAGUGGAACUGAUAGUCCAUUCCGAGAAACUUCCAACAUCUAUGAUGGAUCUGCAUUGUGUGCAGCAUGACUCGAGAGUGACUCAAGAGUGACUCAAGAGUGACCCAAGAGCCAAGAAUUGCAUGUACUGGCACUUAUCAAUGAACAAAACUCUUGGCCCUGAAUUACUCUGUAAUUUCUGUCAAUCAAUAAAAGCUGCAUGUGACUGUGAUAUGGCUAUUCAAAAUGUCAUUGGUGACAGUUUCCGUGGAGCCACUUGGGUAUCUAUUCACAAUGGUGGAGGAGUCGGCUGG
rnacentral:misc_RNA from 1 species